UUAACUGUACAGAAAAAUGAAGAUGUAAAUAUACAAAUUACUGAAACGUUUCACAAUAAGAAGAAAUAAUAAGAAAGUUGCUGUCAAUGGACCAACAUAUCUACCUUCUAUGUAACACCAUCGCCUAAAGAUAUUUCAUCAUGGUUACAAACUCAGCUAAGUAUUCUGAAAUACAACAAGCGAAUUGAAAAUCUGAUCCAAAUUUCUGAUCACUGUCAAGAUGUUACCUCCAUAAAUAAAAUGUACAAUCUUUUAAGAUCAAAAUUGUCAAAAAUUCCACCGCAAUUUCAGUUGGAUUCACAAUGUACCAAUAUGAUUUGAGGGGCUUUCUUCUCUUUUUCCCUCCCAAGUAAACUCCAGCCGUCCACAAAGUCUUACUCCACCAUUUUCUGUCAGGGAUAGUGCUUCAUUGGCCAGUUUUGAGCAAAGAACAAUGCCAGCCGUUUCAACCAAGGAAAAAAUGUCCAGCAUGCAUUGAUUCACAGAAUUAUUCCCUAUGUACAGGGAAUAAUCUCACAGAAAUUCCACAGGACACUCACAUGGGGGUGGGCCCCAUGUGAAUAUUUUAUUUCGGUGGACCCCAUUGUUGUGUUAUUCUGUAAUACAUCUGUAUACAUUUUCCCUAUACAUGUAGAAUGGUCCUUGAUUCACAUUACCUGCGAAAUAAUUCCACACAAACAUAAAUCCAAAAGGAUCCCAAAUGAUUUAAGCAGUCCCAAUUUUUGCUGAAGUUCAGAUUUUACUGUCUCAAUAAAACCAGAUUUCACCAUCACAAUAAGAAAUGUAAGAUGAUAUUAUGCCCCCGUUUGGCCCCCAUUAAAUUUCAUUACAUUACAUUCCAUUUUUUUCUUCUAAUUUCAACCACACAAUCUUCCAUAAAAUAAUAUUACACGUAAAUCUAAAACUUUUUCC
rnacentral:lncRNA from 1 species